rnacentral:tRNA from 1 species
UCCCUAGUAGCUCAGAUGGUAAAGUAUCUGCCUCCAAGGCAGGAGACCCAGGUUCAAUCCCUGGUUCGGGAA